GCCUCGGUAGCUCAGCCCGGCCAGAGCACCUGCCUUGUAAGCAGGGGGUCGCGGGUUCGAACCCCGCCCGAGGCU
rnacentral:tRNA from 1 species